rnacentral:lncRNA from 1 species
AGAUGUAAUUAAUAUAGCUAAAUCUCUUAAUUCGGUUAUACUAUUUUUUACGGUGGUUAGAUACAAGGGGUUAAAAGGAUUAAGUGUACUGCUAGAACUAGAGUAGUUUUAAGAUGAGUGACCCCUCCUAUGAGAGUAAAUCAUCAGCCGAAGUGUGAAAUGAGUCUCAGCUGAACUAGAAUCAUACAGUAAACAGAGCGCGGUUCCUCGACUGACGAUCGUUGUGGUUGGGUGGAUCGUAACUUCCCACAAGAUCAGAUAAGGCUAACGAGACGAGUGUUACAUUGCCUGAUGUUUGUGAGUGUGCUUGAGCCGGACGAGAACGUUAAAGCUUAAAGGGGAGAGGAAUGCUAGCUAAACUUUUUAACUCGAUUAUAUAGUUUUAGGCGAUGGUUAGACUUCAAAAAAAAUUAAGAAAAUUAAGCAUAUUAGCACCGAAAUAAUUAAUUUUAUAAUAGAUGAUCUCC